CCUACGGGCGGCAGCAGUGAGGAAUAUUGGUCAAUGGCCGCAGGGCUGAACCAGCCAAGUCGCGUGAGGGAUGACGGUCCUAUGGAUUGUAAACCUCUUUUGUCAGGGAGCAAAGGGCGCCACGUGUGGCGCUUUGCGAGUACCUGAAGAAAAAGCAUCGGCUAACUCCGUGCCAGCAGCCGCGGUAAUACGGAGGAUGCGAGCGUUAGCCGGAUUUAUUGGGGUUAAAGGGUGCGCAGGCGGAAUGUCAAGUCAGCGGUAAAAUUUCGGGGCUCAACCCCGUCGUGCCGUUGAAACUGGCGUUCUUGAGUGAGCGAGAAGUAUGCUGAAUGCGUGGUGUAGCGGUGAAAUGCAUAGAUAUCACGCAGAACUCCGAUUGCGAAGGCAGCAUACCGGCGCUCAACUGACGCUCAUGCACGAAAGCGUGGGUAUCGAACAGGAUUAGAUACCCCAGUAGUC
rnacentral:rRNA from 1 species